rnacentral:rRNA from 1 species
GACGAACGCUGGCGGCGUGCCUAAUACAUGCAAGUCGAGCGAAGUUUUUCUGGUGCUUGCCCUAGAAAAACUUAGCGGCGAACGGGUGAGUAACACGUAAAGAACCUGCCUCAUAGACUGGGACAACUAUUGGAAACGAUAGCUAAUACCGGAUAACAGCAUUAACUGCAUGGUUGAUGUUUAAAAGUUGGUUUUGCUAACACUAUGAGAUGGCUUUGCGGUGCAUUAGCUAGUUGGUGGGGUAAAGGCCCACCAAGGCGACGAUGCAUAGCCGACCUGAGAGGGUGAUCGGCCACACUGGGACUGAGACACGGCCCAGACUCCUACGGGAGGCAGCAGUAGGGAAUCUUCCGCAAUGGGCGAAAGCCUGACGGAGCAACGCCGCGUGAGUGAAGAAGGAUUUCGGUUCGUAAAGCUCUGUUGUUAGGGAAGAAUGAUUGUGUAGUAACUAUACACAGUAGAGACGGUACCUAACCAGAAAGCCACGGCUAACUACGUG